rnacentral:rRNA from 1 species
GAUGAACGCUGGCGGCGUGCCUAAUACAUGCAAGUCGAGCGAACAGAUGAGGAGCUUGCUCCUCUGACGUUAGCGGCGGACGGGUGAGUAACACGUGGAUAACCUACCUAUAAGACUGGGAUAACUUCGGGAAACCGGAGCUAAUACCGGAUAAUAUAUUGAACCGCAUGGUUCAAUAGUGAAAGACGGUUUUGCUGUCACUUAUAGAUGGAUCCGCGCCGCAUUAGCUAGUUGGUAAGGUAACGGCUUACCAAGGCAACGAUGCGUAGCCGACCUGAGAGGAUGAUCGGCCACACUGGAACUGAGACACGGUCCAGACUCCUACGGGAGGCAGCAGUAGGGAAUCUUCCGCAAUGGGCGAAAGCCUGACGGAGCAACGCCGCGUGAGGGAUGAAGGUCUUCGGAUCGUAAAACGCUGUUAUUAGGGAAGAAAAAAUGUGUAAGUAACUAUGCACGUCUUGACGGUACCUAAUCAGAAAGCCACGGCUAACUACGUG